rfam:Bacteroidetes bacterium 47-18 scnpilot_p_inoc_scaffold_480, whole genome shotgun sequence.
ACGGGGGAAAUCUGAAAACCCGAAUAAAAGAGUAAGAA